rnacentral:rRNA from 1 species
UACGUAGGGGGCAAGCGUUGUCCGGAAUUAUUGGGCGUAAAGAGCGUGUAGGCGGUCCGGUAAGUCAGCUGUGAAAGUCAAGGGCUCAACCCUUGAAAGCCGGUUGAUACUGUCGGGCUAGAGUCCGGAAGAGGCGAGUGGAAUUCCCGGUGUAGCGGUGAAAUGCGCAGAUAUCGGGAGGAACACCAAUGGCGAAGGCAGCUCGCUGGGACGGUACUGACGCUGAGACGCGAAAGCGUGGGGAGCAAACCGG